GACAUAGGUGGCAAACAUUAUCCGGAAUUAUUGGGCGUAAAGGUGCGUAGAUGGUAUAGCAAGUUAUCAGUGGUAAAUCGAGGCUUAACCUCGCGGAAGCUGUUAAUACUACUUUACUAGAGUAUAGGGGAGGUUAACGGAAUUCCAUGUGGAGCGGUAAAAUGUGUAGAUAUAUGGAGGAACAUCAAUAACGGCGAAGGCAGUUAACUACUCUAUUACUGACAUUGAGGCACGAAAGCGUGGGUAGCAAACGG
rnacentral:rRNA from 1 species